UCUGCCCUCCAGUAGAUUUCUUUAACACUGUAUAUUGCAUCUACAUUGCUUUUCCACAAGCGAAGUUGAAAAAACAGUAGCCUUGUUCGUCAAAAUUAAUACAUACUCAGGGGUCAAAUCAAGGUUAAUUAUGACUGACUAAAAGUACUAUAAUGACAUAGUAUUAUAGUCUACUAGACUAGGAUCAUUUUACUCUGGCCAAACAAACUCAAUAAAGAACAUAAAUUAACCUUUCCACAGUCAGCAAUCAGUAAGAAAAUACAUCUUUCUCUUUUUUUUUUUUUUAUGAUUACUGGUCAGGUUAAGAGAGGACCUGAGAAAGAUAGCCACAGCACUUUUAUUAUUAUUGUGGAAACCCUGCUGAAAAAUCCAGCUGCCAAAGCACAGCCAUGAAGACCAUCUUAACCAGUUGGUACACGUUGGCAGAGCAGAAAUGGUUUACGAAUGACUGCUAAUACCACAUCAUGUGAACGCAAGAAGAUUUCAUUUAUGAUUCAGUCUAGAUGAUGGGUUUAGUGUUUUGGCAGCUGGUCAGACCGAGGUGGACCCCUCCCAACCUCCCUCCCUGGAAAGUUAAAACCAGUACAUGGAAAUCAGCACGAGACCAUGUGUCUCAUCAUGGUUAGGAAUACAUUGCGCGAGGAGCAUGUAAGCUUAUGGCCUUUACUGGUCUAGUAUUUUGUUAACGUGAGGUGCUCUGAUUCAUUACUUCAUUCUUUUUUUGUUAAAUGCAAAAAAAGGGAAAUUAAGAAAGGGGGGAAAAAACCAUGUACCAAUAUGACUUUCAAAGCAGAUCCUUGUGUAUUUUGGACAGAAAUUCAAAUCCAGGUUGAAUGUCCCUACUCAGUCACAACGCCCACUUUUAGUCUAUAUAGGUAACUGUGCAUGAAGCGUGUUUACACCAAGAGCAGUCAUAACACAGUACGGCGUAAAUAAAAUAAAUGCUAGACGAGACGAACGCGCGAGCUCGUGCGCAGAUUUGCAUGGUGAAGUUGCAUUGAUCAUGACAAAACAAACGGGACCAUGCUGCCAUGAUCAGAAAAACCUUUACGCACGAAUGUCUGCAAAUCAUUUUCCUUUACCUAAUCCAGCUCCAAACUAAAAGCCACUAUGCUUUGGACAAUGACCACAAUCCCAGCGAGUUGGUGAUUAGAGCGCGUGCCUUCACCUUUCCUAAUAAUGAGCUAAUCUACUUGAACGGAUGUAAAGGGGCUUCGACUCUAAGCAUUUUGCUUUGCCAUUGUGCACGCACGCACGCCAGCAGGAAUGGCUGCAGAUCUGCGUCCAUUUGCCCCCCAAAUGCGUUUGUAAAUUGCGAGCACAAAGCGGUGGUCGGCCGGCCUUGAAAUACUGAGACUCUCCACCAUGGACGCGCCUCUUACCUCUGAUAUCAGCCGGCAUUCAUUGUCCUCUGAAGGAAUUCUCAAUGUUUUAUCCAGAUCCAGGAAAUGACUGUGUGGUACUCACAUACGUUUUCACACCCGGGAGCAGUUUAGGAACCAGGAGGAAACCAAGGAACAUGAAGGAAACAUACAGAAAGUAUGCAAUAAAUUAACCCACCUUUCUUUCUCAGGGACAAAAUGGAUUGGUGGAUAUGCAGAAAGUUAUAGCGUGAGACUCUGUACAGUGAAUUGCGUGUCAAGGUCAUAGGAUGAGUUCUAUUACAGGAAACUAUUUCAUGACAGUGUUGCAUGAUGCGGUUAACACUCAGAAUUUGUGUAUUUUUAUAUAACAUCAUUUUCUAAAGUGUCCUGCUCCACUUAUACUGCACCAAUUUGCAAACAAUAAAAAUUUUCAAUUGAUCAAUCUA